AUGACGGUACCGAAUACAGUUUCUCCCUAACGCCACAAGACGCUAUUUCGUCUGCUUGGUUAUCUUCAAGGGAGAAAAAUAAGUGACCCUGAUAAGGGAAUGACUGUUUAUAGCUUCUAUAACUGAUUACAGAGGAUAACGCCUAAUAAGGCCAUGUCAUGUCACUGAGAUCAGUACAGAAUGUUUAUCUGCUUACAGAGACACAAACAUGUUCUUCUGUUCAAGAGGACGAGUCUGCGAGUGUUGUCUUACUUCCACGAAAAUUUGGCGUCUCCUGGCUGGACUGCGCGAGUCUUUUCAGCUUUUCUGGACAACAAGCGAAAGUUCGUGAAAAAAACUGACAGAAGUGAGUCUACUACGAACGAAAAAGUUUCACUCCGAAGUCUGUGUUGACGCGAAGGUGAUUUUCCAUUUGUUGUGCAGAGCGAAAGACCUGACUGAUAGGAAUCAAGAAUUUAGAAUUAGAAUUUUAUGAAGUCAUUGUGCAUUGCUGUCUGUGUGGAAGGGAGUCAAUGAUGUAAGAAAUCUAUUUCUGUAAUAAACCUUUUUUACCUUCA